UAAAAGAGUUAGUUGAUUAGUUUAUGGCAUAAGCAUAUGAUUUGAGUUAGAGUUUUGGACCUUUAGAGAUGAGUUGAUGGUGUUUUGGGAAUGUGGAAUUUCUACAAAAUCGAAUUGGGAAUUCUGAAAAUUCCCAAAUUUAACUGCCAAAGUGGCUACUGCCUCCUGGGGGCAAUUGUAGUUCGGCUGCUUGUGCCAACCUAUUUUCCCUUUUCAUUUCAAGGGUCCAAAACCCAAUUUUAUGCAUAGAAAUGACCUAGAA
rnacentral:misc_RNA from 1 species